UUUCUCUGACCAAAUCACUAGUUUUGAUUGGUUAUCCCAGGAAAUAAAUAUGUACCUCAAAUUUACUUAAAGCCAUCUCUUUUUAUAAGCUUGGUGCUUUUAUUGUUACUCUGCAACUCCACCAGGCAGCAGAAAUUACAACCAACGAUUAAUUUCAAUGGCAUUAUUGGCAUCGGAGCACGUGUAGUUUAUUUCUUUUCUCUGAGGUGGUCGUUAUUCCUCAUAGAUUGCUUUUGCGCCAGACCAAUAAGGAGGUCAGCAGUUUCCAAUAAGCGAUUCCUGAGCGCGAGUGCUAAAAAUAACGCAUAUUUAUUUGGCAUUGGGAGAGGACUGGGUCAAUAAGUUUUCCAGAAGUUUAACACCAU
rnacentral:lncRNA from 1 species